UAGGGCUUUAGUUGGAAGAAGAGGAAGCUUGGGCCUUGGCCUGGGCCUGGGCCUAGGGGAUGGUGGGGGGAAGGGAAGAGAACUAGAGGGGAUGCUUCUUUUUCCGCGCAAGGCUAGUAAUUGUUUCUCCCGAGUACGCGCCUGUAAUCAGCGAACGUGCUUUUAGCAGGAGAAGCGUCUCGGAGCGUAAGAUGCUUCAGGAGAGCGAAGGGCCUCUAUCGCGCAUGCGCCGUAACUGUCCGGAUGCUUAAAAGGAGGCUGUUGUUUCGGGGGGGGGGGGGAGGCCUAGCGACGCCGAACAGGAAGAGCCAAGCGCGCCUACAGGGUACUGAGUUUGAAGAUGGGCAGUGGAAGUGGCACAUACCGGUACUUCUGCUAAAAGUGUGUGUUAACAGGGUAGUGGUGAAAUGCUUGUUCUCAACAUUGUUACAACAAUGAAAACAUAAAUAACUUUAGUCCCUGAAACAAAGCUAUCAUAAGCUGUAAAUAUCACAAGUGAAUGCAGUUUAAAUAAUUGAAAUUAAUGUAUAAGAUUUGUUUGCCACUGUAAAGGCACUUUAACUGCUGUGGAGUAAAUUGUGGAAAAUACCUCCUCAAUUUGUACUUUUAUGUGUAUAUAUUACCUUAUGUUGUAGUUUUGAUACAAUAAAAUUAAAAUGGUUUGCAAUUA